AACGAACGCUGGCGGCGUGCCUAAUACAUGCAAGUCGAACGCAGUGGGGACGGGUGAUUAACACGUGGGUAACCUCCCAUCAGAGGGGAUAACACUUGGAAACAGGUGCUAAACCGAUAUUGGUGGAUGGACCCGCGGUGGAUUAGCCAGUUGGUGGGGUAACGGCUCACCAAGGCCACGAUGCAUAGCCGGUCUGAGAGGAUGAUCAGCCACACUGGGACUGAGACACGGCCCAGACUCCUACGGGAGGCAGCAGUAGGGAAUCUUCGGCAAUGGACGAAAGUCUGACCGAGCAACGCCGCGUGAGUGAAGAAGGUUUUCGGGUCGUAAAACUCUGUUGUUAGGGAAGCGUUACCUACCCAGAAAGCACCGGCUAACUACGUGCCAGCAGCCGCGGUAAUAC
rnacentral:rRNA from 1 species